AGCGAACGCUGGCGGCAGGCCUAACACAUGCAAGUCGAACGAAGUCUUCGGACUUAGUGGCGGACGGGUGAGUAACACGUGGGAACGUGCCUUUAGGUUCGGAAUAACUCAGGGAAACUUGUGCUAAUACCGAAUGUGCCCUUCGGGGGAAAGAUUUAUCGCCUUUAGAGCGGCCCGCGUCUGAUUAGCUAGUUGGUGAGGUAAAGGCUCACCAAGGCUACGAUCAGUAGCUGGUCUGAGAGGAUGACCAGCCACAUUGGGACUGAGACAUGGCCCAAACUCCUACGGGAGGCAGCAGUGGGGAAUCUUGCGCAAUGGGCGAAAGCCUGACGCAGCCAUGCCGCGUGGAUGAUGAAGGUCUUAGGAUUGUAAAAUCCUUUCACCGGUGAAGAUAAUGACUGUAGCCGGAGAAGAAGCCCCGGCUAACUUCGUGCCAGCCGCCGCCGUAAAAC
rnacentral:rRNA from 1 species